CCUCGGCAAAGCAACAAGCAUUAUUCAUGUGAUUCCAUCCCUGUCCUUCAGCUGAGCAGUCAUAGGAAAGGACAAAGAAGAAUAAUCAGUACUUGUUAACAUGAGGGUGCAUGGCUGCGCUCCACCUCACACAACUUAGGCUUGGCGGGUGUGGGUGUGUGCCGUAUGUAAGGAGUGCAUGUGGGUUCUCGACCGUGUGGGCAAUGAUUGAGUUGUAUACUUCCUGUGCUAACUGCUGAUCAGUGCAUAUGUGUCAUAUGUGUCCGGUGUGUCCUAGCCUAUAGUAAGCCCCUUUUCUGCUGCCCCCCGUUGUGAUGCCGUCACGCACACAGGCCCAGGUUCAUAAGCAUUCUUUGGUUCAUAAGCUGGCCUGUGAUGCCAUCAAAAUUGAGGGGCAUGCUGUAAAAUGCAGCUUAUUUUGCAGUGUUGCUACUGAUGUACAGCUAGAAAAAGGGCCUGUCCCUGGACANN
rnacentral:lncRNA from 1 species